rfam:Pan troglodytes isolate Yerkes chimp pedigree #C0471 (Clint) chromosome 6, whole genome shotgun sequence.
GUGCUUGCUUCGGCAGCACAUAUACUAAAAUUGGAAGGAUACAAAGAAGAUUACCAUGGCCCCUAUGGUAGGGGGAGGCGGGGUGGGGGGAAAGUGAGGAUGGUUAA